ensembl:snRNA U6 U6 spliceosomal RNA
GUGCUCACUUCAGCAGCACAUAUACUAAAACUGGAAUGAUACAGAGAAGAUUAGCAUGGUCCCUGCACAAGGAUGACAUGAAAAUACCUGAAACAUUCCAAGAAAAA